UGUUAACACUUUCCAUAAGGCUCCUUUUUAUUUACUAGGUUUUCUUUCUGAAAAGGGACUGUUAACACUUUCCAUAAGGCUUCUUUUCAUUUACCAGGGCACUGUUCUUGUUAUGGAUCAGAUGGGAUACAAUG